rnacentral:rRNA from 1 species
UGGGGAAUUUUUCGCAAUGGGCGCAAGCCUGACGAAGCAACGCCGCGUGGAGGAUGAAGGUCUUCGGAUUGUAAACUCCUGUCGACCGGGACGAAUGCACUCGACCUAAUACGUCGGAAUGUUGACGGUACCGGUGGAGGAAGCCACGGCUAACUCUGUGCCAGCAGCCGCGGUAAUACAGAGGUGGCAAGCGUUGUUCGGAAUUACUGGGCGUAAAGGGCGCGUAGGCGGCCUUAUAAGUCUCGUGUGA